UACGGAGGGUGCAAGCGUUAAUCGGAAUUACUGGGCGUAAAGCGCGCGCAGGCGGCCUUUCAAGUCAGGGGUGAAAGCCCGGAGCUCAACUCCGGAAUUGCCUUUGAAACUGUCAGGCUCGAGUACGGGAGAGGUGAGUGGAAUUCCCAGUGUAGAGGUGAAAUUCGUAGAUAUUGGGAAGAACACCGGUGGCGAAGGCGGCUCACUGGCCCGUUUCUGACGCUCAGGCGCGACAGCGUGGGGAUCAAACAGG
rnacentral:rRNA from 1 species